CCUACGGGGGACAGCAGUGAGGAAUAUUGGUCAAUGGGCGGAAGCCUGAACCAGCCAAGUCGCGUGAGGGAAUAAGGCCCUACGGGUCGUAAACCUCUUUUGCCGGGGAGCAAGGGCGGGGACGUGUCCCGGCCCGGAGAGUACCCGGAGAAAAAGCAUCGGCUAACUCCGUGCCAGCAGCCGCGGUAAUAAGGAGGAUGAGAGCGUGAUCCGGAUUUAUUGGGUUUAAAGGGUGCGUAGGCGGGCGUUUAAGUCAGCGGUAAAAAUUCGGGGCUCAACCCCGUCCGGCCGUUGAAACUGGGGGCCUUGAGUGGGCUAGACGCAGGCGGAAUGCGUGGUGUAGC
rnacentral:rRNA from 1 species